rnacentral:lncRNA from 1 species
AAUUCCUUAGUUACAAGUGUAAUGAGUAAUGGAGUAAAACAUUUUCAUUCACAUUAAUGAGUGGUGUGAGAUACAGGAGAAACCGAGUUUUUGUAUUUCUUUAUACUUAGUAUGUAAUGCUUUGGGAUUUUCUGCCUAGUCUUUAGAAAGUUUGCAGGUAUCAUAUUCUUUAAAGCCUAUUUCUGAGAAUUUUUCAUCUAAGUCUGCUAUAAAUGAAGCAGUAAACAAAUACAUCUCAGGAGCAAGGGAGAUGGAAUGCCAGCCACAGGGGAGCUUUGCUGCCUUCAUUACCUCGAAAAGUUCAAACAGAUUUGAUGAAAAGUGAAGUCUGAUGUCUAAAAUGUCUUUUACAUUGUCCUUAAGACAUCUUUUGGAAAAGGAUUCAAAAACUGCUCAUUAACAUGGUCGAGAAUUUUCUCUGUGACGUAUGAGAAUGAUGCCAUCCCCUUUGCUCUGAGCAGCGUGUGGAGGCAUCUCGCUACUUUAAAGAACAUAAUCAUCAAUUCAGCAAAUGGUCCUAAGUGUGACUGUCAGGGACAGACACUGCUCUGAGCGUUCAUGCCUGGAUUUCAUGGAGGGGAGCUGCCCUUCAGGGGAAAUCUAAUUGCAGGUCUAUCAUAUUUUUGGACUAAGACAGUAGAUAGAAGCAGCUUUAAGCUCCUCAGAGUCAUCAGGAAUUGCAUUUUAAAUUAAAAAGGACAAGAAAACAAAGCAGUCACAGAGGAUCUGGCAAGGCCAAGGUAUGCUAAUGUGACUUAUCUU